UGGGGAAUUUUGGACAAUGGGCGCAAGCCUGAUCCAGCCAUGCCGCGUGCGGGAAGAAGGCCUUCGGGUUGUAAACCGCUUUUGUCAGGGAAGAAAUCUUCUGAGUUAAUACCUCGGGAGGAUGACGGUACCUGAAGAAUAAGCACCGGCUAACUACGUGCCAGCAGCCGCGGUAAUACGUAGGGUGCAAGCGUUAAUCGGAAUUACUGGGCGUAAAGCGUGCGCAGGCGGUUUUGUAAGACAGAGGUGAAAUCCCCGGGCUCAACCUGGGAACUGCCUUUGUGACUGCAAGGCUUGAGUGCGGCAGAGGGGGAUGGAAUUCCGCGUGUAGCAGUGAAAUGCGUAGAUAUGCGGAGGAACACCGAUGGCGAAGGCAAUCCCCUGGGCCUGCACUGACGCUCAUGCACGAAAGCGUGGGGAGCAAACAGGAUUAGAUAGCCCUGGUAGUCCACGCCCUAAAACGAUGUCAACUGGUUGUUGGGAAGGUUCCUUCUCAGUAACGUGAGCUAACGCGUGAAGUUGA
rnacentral:rRNA from 1 species